UGUCUUUCUUAGACCAAUCUACCUUCAUGUUUUCACCAAACAGGAAAAAAAAAGAAAUACCAUUGUAUGUCAGUGGAGGCCACAGCACAUGAUAAUCUAUGCACAUAAGUUUAUCACACUUUGUACGUUUUUUCUAAGGAAAUACUGUAUACGGUUAAAAUCGGGCCCACCCGAUUUGCCGAUUUACCGAGACAAGUGUGAAGGAUCGAUCCCGUAAUAGAUCAGAUCGAGGCAUGAGGACAAGGUACCGAGUUUGAGAUUCGAGGUACCUAUCAAGAUCGAGGCCGAUAGUGAUUGAGACAAAAUGAGACAGACAUCGAGCAAGAUCGAAGAUAGCAUAAUAACAUAAAUGCGAGAUACCCGUGACUGGUCGAAGAUCAUGGCAGAAUCUUAGAACGGAUCAAAUCUAGGACGGUUAAUUAGCUAAUCAUGGGAUUUCCUUCUGCAAUUAGAAUUAUAUCAUAAUUAGAAUUCCUCUACUAUAUAAAGAGGAGUUCCAAUCAUUUGCAAGGGACUUACAUUCACGCAUAUCAAAGCAAUAUAACACUCUUUUGGCUUA